CAUGCAAGUCGAGCGGGGAAGAGUAGCUUGCUACUUGACCUAGCGGCGGACGGGUGAGUAAUGCUUAGGAAUCUGCCUAUUAGUGGGGGACAACAUCUCGAAAGGGAUGCUAAUACCGCAUACGUCCUACGGGAGAAAGCAGGGGACCUUCGGGCCUUGCGCUAAUAGAUGAGCCUAAGUCGGAUUAGCUAGUUGGUGGGGUAAAGGCCUACCAAGGCGACGAUCUGUAGCGGGUCUGAGAGGAUGAUCCGCCACACUGGGACUGAGACACGGCCCAGACUCCUACGGGAGGCAGCAGUGGGGAAUAUUGGACAAUGGGGGGAACCCUGAUCCAGCCAUGCCGCGUGUGUGAAGAAGGCCUUUUGGUUGUAAAGCACUUUAAGCGAGGAGGAGGCUACCGAGAUUAAUACUCUUGGAUAGUGGACGUUACUCGCAGAAUAAGCACCGGCUAACUCUGUGCCAGCAGCCGCGGUAAUACAGAGGGUGCAAGCGUUAAUCGGAUUUACUGGGCGUAAAGCGCGCGUAGGUGGCCAAUUAAGUCAAAUGUGAAAUCCCCGAGCUUAACUUGGGAAUUGCAUUCGAUACUGGUUGGCUAGAGUAUGGGAGAGGAUGGUAGAAUUCCAGGUGUAGCGGUGAAAUGCGUAGAGAUCUGGAGGAAUACCGAUGGCGAAGGCAGCCAUCUGGCCUAAUACUGACACUGAGGUGCGAAAGCAUGGGGAGCAAACAGGAUUAGAUACCCUGGUAGUCCAUGCCGUAAACGAUGUCUACUAGCCGUUGGGGCCUUUGAGGCUUUAGUGGCGCAGCUAACGCGAUAAGUAGACCGCCUGGGGAGUACGGUCGCAGACUAAAACUCAAAUGAAUUGACGGGGGCCCGCACAAGCGGUGGAGCAUGU
rnacentral:rRNA from 1 species